rnacentral:rRNA from 1 species
GACGAACGCUGGCGGCGUGCUUAACACAUGCAAGUCGAACGGUAAGGCCCCAGCUUGCUGGGGUACACGAGUGGCGAACGGGUGAGUAACACGUGAGUAACCUGCCCUUAACUCUGGGAUAAGCCUGGGAAACUGGGUCUAAUACCGGAUAGGAGCGUCCACCGCAUGGUGGGUGUUGGAAAGAUUUAUCGGUUUUGGAUGGACUCGCGGCCUAUCAGCUUGUUGGUGAGGUAAUGGCUCACCAAGGCGACGACGGGUAGCCGGCCUGAGAGGGUGACCGGCCACACUGGGACUGAGACACGGCCCAGACUCCUACGGGAGGCAGCAGUGGGGAAUAUUGCACAAUGGGCGCAAGCCUGAUGCAGCGACGCCGCGUGAGGGAUGACGGCCUUCGGGUUGUAAACCUCUUUCAGUAGGGAAGAAGCGAAAGUGACGGUACCUGCAGAAGAAGCACCGGCUAACUACGUG